rnacentral:sRNA from 1 species
AUAUCGCUGAAUUCUUAAAUGAAGCGGGGGACCCAAUCUUCGGGGGUGUAUCCAUUUUUGGAGGGGUAGAACCCUUUAGCCCUAACCCGACAGCUAACCUCGUAAGCGUAUAAAGGGG